UACGUAGGGGGCAAGCGUUGUCCGGAUUUAUUGGGCGUAAAGAGCUCGUAGGCGGUUUGGUAAGUCUGGUGUGAAAUCUCCACGCUCAACGUGGAGGGGCCACCCGAUACUGCCAUGACUGGAGUCCGGUAGAGGAGUGUGGAAUUCCCGGUGUAGCGGUGAAAUGCGCAGAUAUCGGGAGGAACACCAGUGGCGAAGGCGGCUACCUGGACCAGCACUGACACUGAAGCACGAAAGCGUGGGGAGCAAACAGG
rnacentral:rRNA from 1 species